GCGGCUGUGGUGUAAUUGGUAGCCACGCCAGACUUAGGAUCUGGUGCUGAGAGGCGUGGGGGUUCGAGUCCCUUCAGCCGCACAA
rnacentral:tRNA from 1 species